AUGAACGCUGGCGGCGUGGAUAAGGCAUGCAAGUCGAACGGUUUUCUUUAUUGAAGAAGAUGCGAUUACAUCAAAUUAACAGAUAUUUUGAAAACAGUGGCGAACGAGCUAGUAACACCUUGGUACGUACCCGAAAGUUUGGUAUAGCUCGCCGAAAGGCGGGGUAAUCCCAAAUAGUCCCUUCAUCUAUCGGAUGAUAGGGUAAAGUAGCAAUACGCUUUCGGAUCGGCCUAGGUCCGGUCAGUUAGUUGGUGAGGUAAUGGCUCACCAAGACAAUGACCGGUAGGGG
rnacentral:rRNA from 1 species